rnacentral:rRNA from 1 species
CCUACGGGCGGCAGCAGUGGGGAAUAUUGGACAAUGGGGGGAACCCUGAUCCAGCCAUGCCGCGUGUGUGAAGAAGGCCCUCGGGUUGUAAAGCACUUUCAGUGAGGAAGAACGCCUGGUGGUUAAUACCCAUCAGGAAAGACAUCACUCACAGAAGAAGCACCGGCUAACUCCGUGCCAGCAGCCGCGGUAAUACGGAGGGUGCGAGCGUUAAUCGGAAUUACUGGGCGUAAAGCGCGCGUAGGUGGCUUGAUAAGCCGGUUGUGAAAGCCCCGGGCUCAACCUGGGAACGGCAUCCGGAACUGUCAAGCUAGAGUGCGGGAGAGGAAGGUAGAAUUCCCGGUGUAGCGGUGAAAUGCGUAGAGAUCGGGAGGAAUACCAGUGGCGAAGGCGGCCUUCUGGACUGACACUGACACUGAGGUGCGAAAGCGUGGGUAGCAAACAGGAUUAGAUACCCUUGUAGUC